rnacentral:lncRNA from 1 species
ACUGCGCCUGCUUAGGUCUCACUCUAUAGCCCAGGCUGGCCUCAAAUUCAUGGCAAUCCUUCUACUUCAGCCUCCUAGAUGCUGAGAUUACAGGCAUGAGCUAUCUUGUCCUACUUUUAAAAAAAAGUAAUUUAUUGGGCUGUGAUAUGGUCUCCAGUAAAAGUGCUUUCUGUUCAAGUCUAAUGACCUGAGUUUGACCCCUGGAUCCAAAGUGCCUCUCAGUGCCAGAACUAAAGGCUUGUGCCAUAAUGCCCAGCCAAGUAGCAGUUCUUCAGGACUGUCCUCUGACCUCACCAUGCAUACUCAAAUGCACAUGUCAUAGACAAAUAUACAAAAUAGUACAUGAAGAAGAAGAAGAAGAAGAAGAAGAAGAAGAAGAAGAAGAAGAAGAAGAAGAAGAAGAAGAAGAAGAAGAAGAAGAAGAAGAAGAGG